GCAGUGAUGCACCUCCUGCAGCUGCAGGGAAAGUUCAAGCCUCCACCAUCUCCUCGGGCAGCGUGUCCCAGAUUGCAACCACCCUCUGGAUUUUCAGCAUCUGUGGUUCUUUGCUUUACACGUUCAUUUUGAUGUUGUGACCUGCGAACAACGAAUCAAAGGAGAUCAGAUACGUGGUGUCGUAAUCUACUGGGAUUCCAGUAACUAAGCACCAGUUGUGACUGUGAGACGUGGUGUUGUGUUGGAAGCACAGAUGGCCUGGGACGUUCAUUAGAUGCAUC